rnacentral:rRNA from 1 species
UCGAACGGUAACGGGAAGGAAGCUUGCUUUCUUUGCCGACGAGUGGAGGACGGCUGAGUUGUGCUUGGGAAUCUGCCUUAUGCAGGGGCAUAUCUACGGGAUACUGGAGCUAAAACCGCGUAUUAUCUAUCGAUUAAUGGGUGGCACUUUCGGGGCACCUGCCUUAAGAUGAGCCCAAGUGGGAUUAGGUAUUUGGUUACGUUAACGCUGACCUAGCGGACGAUGUCUAGCUGGUCUGUGAGGAUGACCUGCCACACUGGUACUGAGAGACGGUCCAGACACCUACGGGUGGCAGCAGUGGGGAAUAUUGCACAAUGGGGGGAACCCUGAUGCAGCCAUGCCGCGUGAAUGAAGAAGGCCUUCGGGUUGUAAUGUUCAUUCGGUAGCGACGAUGGUAUCAAUUUUAAUAGUUUUCCUAAUUGACGUUUACUACGGUU